GUAUUGUGGGGACCACCUCUGCGAGAGGUGUUAGGCUUUAGCCAGCCACGACGGCUUGCACGCGAGAUCUAGACCCCUUCGUGCAGACACCCAAGCCAGCCGUCGAAGCCAGCCAGGCCGCUUUUUUGG
rnacentral:ncRNA from 1 species